GAUGAACGCUAGCGACAGGCUUAACACAUGCAAGUCGAGGGGCAGCGUGGUGUGGCAACACACUGACGGCGACCGGCGCACGGGCGAGUAACGCGUAUGCAACUUGCCUAUCAGAGGGGGAUAACCCGUCGAAAGACGGACUAAUACCGCAUGAAACAGGGGUCCCGCAUGGGGAUAUUUGUUAAAGAUUAUAUCGCUGAUAGAUAGGCAUGCGUUCCAUUAGGUAGUUGGUGGGGCAACGGCCCACCAAGCCGACGAUGGAUAGGGGUUCUGAGAGGAACGGUCCCCCCACACUGGUACUGAGACACGGGACCAGACUCCGUACGGGAGCAGCAGUGAGGAAUAUUGGUCAAGUGGGCGUGAGCCUGAACCAGCCAAGUCGCGUGAGGGAUGGAAGGCCCUA
rnacentral:rRNA from 1 species